rnacentral:tRNA from 1 species
ACCUCUGUGGCUGAGUGGUCAAGAGCACUGAUUCUCAACCUGGAGGUACUGGGUUCGAAUCCCGGCUAGGGUG